GUCUACGGCCAUACCACCCUGAACGCGCCCGAUCUCGUCUGAUCUCAGAAGCUAAGCAGGGUCGGGCCUGGUUAGUACUUGGAUGGGAGAUAAAGAGGCUUAGAUA
rnacentral:rRNA from 1 species